ACAGAUCGUUCAGAGUUUGAUCCUGGCUCAGAUUGAACGCUGGCGGCAUGCCUUACACAUGCAAGUCGAACGGUAACAGGUCUUCGGACGCUGACGAGUGGCGAACGGGUGAGUAAUACAUCGGAACGUGCCCAGUCUGGGGGAUAACUACUCGAAAGAGUAGCUAAUACCGCAUACGAUCUGAGGAUGAAAGCGGGGGACCUUCGGGCCUCGCGCGAUUGGAGCGGCCGAUGGCAGAUUAGGUAGUUGGUGGGAUAAAAGCUUACCAAGCCGACGAUCUGUAGGGGGCCUGAGAGGGUGAUCCUCCACACUGGGACUGAGAUACGGCCCAG
rnacentral:rRNA from 1 species